CUUCUGGAGCGGAGCCGAGGCCGUCUUCAUCGCCACCUUCGACGUCUCCUCUGAGGCCGACCUGGGGGACAGGCUGCAGAUGACAGCCAGCGCCAGCAGUGACAACGGCGGCCCCGUCACCGAGCGCAUGGUUCACCGGGCGGAGCUGCCGGUCAAGUACGGCAUCUUCAUCAUCCUCAC